AUGAACGAGACGGAGAGUGAAUCACCUUCCGACGGCAACGCGGUGGACCGGAACUGCGGCGGCGAGGGAUUUGAACCGGUUGCGAUCUCCGAUGACCGGAUUUGGGAGCUUGAUGUUCCGGAAAGGAAUCAGAUGUAUGAUGGAAUUAGUGUUAGAUUAGAUGAUGAGAGUAGGUGGAUAUGUAAUCAACUGGCCAGUGGUGCAUUGUUGGGCAAGAACAAGGCCUUCUUUUCGUUCUUUGCUUUUUGCGAAAGCAAGAUGAGUGGAGUGGAGUUUGAUCCAGUGAGUAGCUUGUGGAUUUAUUCGAUAAGCAAGGAUGACAUCAGAAGAUUUUUGGAGAUUCACCAUGGGCAGAAGUUGGAUAUUCCGUUUAUUGCUUUGUAUCGGAAAGAGGAGUGUGCAAGUCUAUUGCAGGAUCCAGAACACAUUGGAUAGGAUGGUGAACAUAAGCAGGAUGAAAUUGAGAAAGCACAUUUGCAGCUUAAGUGGCACAAGGUACUAUGGGCAAUUCGAGAUUUGCACAGAGACUGGCUUUUGCUUCAGAAACGGAAACGUGCUUCGCGAUUGUUGUAUGAUGAGCAAUUUGAGGAAGAAUCUCGGUGUAUACAUGACGAGAUCAGACUGACUUUAAUUCAUCAGCAUUUUGAAUCAAUUGUAAAGUCAUUAAAGAGUGCAGAAUCAGAGACAGAGGUUGAUGAUGUUCACACCAAGUUUGAAUUGCAUUUCCCUGUGGGGGUUCAGAUACAUUUGGGUGUGGGACAAUGUAAGAGGCUCAAGACAGAAGAAUCGCUUUAUAGUAAAUGCAGAAAGGCUGGCCUAUGGAAAUUUGCAAGUAAAUUUGGUUACAGCUCAGAGGUGUUUGGAUUCGAGGUGUCACUAGACAGUACAAUGGUAAUUGAAAUGGAUCCUGAGGAGACACCUGAAGAGAUGGCAUCCGACUUUACAUGUGCAGAGUUUGAGACACCUCAAGCCGUCCUCAAAGGAGCUAGGCAUAUGGCUGCUCUUGAGAUAAGUUGUGAGCCGCUUAUGAGAAAUUAUGUCCGAAGCAAGUACUUGGAUAGUCUUGAGUUGUCAACACAUCCAAAAACACCUGAUGGAAAUGCAAUAGAUUCUAUUUUUCAAAGAAAGCCACUGCACAGGCUUGACGAUGCACAAUGGUUGCUUCUUCAGAAGGCUGAAAAGGAUGAUCUUAUUGGUGUUACUUUUGAGCUGCCGGAAGACGGACCAAAUAAGUUGUUAAGCGACUUUGAGAAGUUUUAUCUUAGAGCCAGUGUAAGUAAAUCUGCACAACUAUGGAACGAGCAGCGGAAAUUGAUAUUGCAGGACGCUAUAUAUGAUUUCCUUCUACCUCUAAUGGAGAAAGAAGCAAGAUCCAUGUUGACCAGUAGAGCAAAAAGCUGGUUACUGAUGGAAUAUGGAAACGUUCUUUGGAAUAAAGUUUCUAUGACUCCAGCAUAUCAACAUAAGAAAGAUCAGAUUAAGUCAGAUGAAGCUUCUGCUGCCCCGACGGUCAUGGCUUGCUGUUGGGGUGAAGCUGAAACUACUUUAGUGAUGUUAGAUUCAUAUGGGGAACUGCUAGAUGUGCUUUGUAUAAGUCCUUUUUCCUGGGAGUCUUACUACACUGGAGAUGGCAACUAUACUGUUGAUAGGCUGGGUACUUAUGAUGAAAGAAAACGGGUUUGGAAGUUUGUGGCUGAUCACCAACCAAGUGUUGUGGUUAUUGGAGCUGUUAAUAUGUCUUGUGUUCUCAUAAGACAGUAUAUGCUUUCGGUAAGUGUUACUACAGUAAUCAUGCAUGUUAUUUGGCUCUUAGUUUGUGGUUUUGAGGAUACGUUACUUCAGAUUGUUUUUGGGGAUGAAUCUUUGGGUCGCCUGUAUGAAAAUUCUCAGACUUCUUCCAAUCAGCUACCUGGGCAAUCAGGUACUGUCAAGCGGGCAGUGGCUCUCGGGCGUUAUCUUCAAAAUCCACUAGCAAUGGUUGCCACACUCUGUGGGCCUGAAAGAGAUAUUCUAUCUUGGAAAUUGCUCAAUUCCCCUUUUGAAGAUGUUCUCACCCCGGACGAGAAGUACAAGAUGAUUGAACAAGUCAUGGUAGAUGUUACAAACCAAGUAGGCUUAGACAUAAAUUUGGCUAUAAACCAUCAAUGGUUGUUUGCACCUUUGCAAUUCAUUUCCGGACUUGGGCCUAGAAAGGCAGCACAUUUGCAGCAGUCGUUGGUAACAUCUGGAUGCGCACUAUCUGAACGGAGGGAGUUUGUUACAUUGCACCAUCUUGGUGAAAAGGUGUUUGAUAAUGCAGUCGGUUUCUUGCGUGUUCGGCCUAGUAGCAGCAGCAGCAACCAAUUUCCUGAUCUGUUGGAUGAUACAAGAAUACAUCCAGAAUCCUAUAUUCUUGCUCAGGAAUUGGUGAAGGAGGUUUAUAAUGACAAGGAUGCUUUACAGUGCAUUAGGGACCAACCUGGUUACCUUCAAAGGCUUGACAUUGAAGCAUAUGCUAGAAGCAAGCAACUUGAGGAUAAGAUGCAAACUUUGUGUGAUAUAAGGAAAGAAUUAAUACAGGGUUUUCAGGAUCCGAGGAAAGAGUGGGAAGAACUAGGUGUUGAUGAGGUCUUUCAUCUGGCUACUGGUUUAAAUGAUGAUGCCAUUUGUGAAGGACGAACUGUGCAGGCAAGGGUGUACUCGGUGUCUUUUGUUGGUGCAAAUUGUGUUACUGAAGUUGGAUUGGUGGGUACGCUUCGAAGAGAAGACUAUUCAGAUGAUGGAAGGCGUAGUAGAGGCUUGAAUAAAAAGCUGAAGACUGGUGAUGUGAUCACUUGCAAGAUCAAAACUGUUAAGAAGAUGUACUUUCCCUUUGAGAUAGUACUUAGUUACGAUGCCUUCCUUCAACAGAUUCAACAGUAAAGUGUAUAUGUGACAUCGUUGUUACUGAUCAGAAAUGCUUAUGAUGUUGUUCCUGUUGCUAUUAUAGUACUGGAAAUUAGAAGGCUUAGUUUUGUAAACAUUUUCAUUUUCCUUCCCUGUUGUUACAAUUGGAGAUGGAAAUUGAUCUGAAAAUCCUUUGAGC